rnacentral:tRNA from 1 species
GGGUAUAGCUCAGUGGUAGAGUGCUUGCCUACUAUGUGAGAGGCCUUAGGUUUGAUCCCCAGGACCACA